UAGGGAAUAUUGGGCAAUGGGCGAGAGCCUGACCCAGCCAUGCCGCGUGCAGGAAGAAGGCUUUCUGAGUCGUAAACUGCUUUUGAUAGGGAAGAAUAAGGCCUACGUGUAGGCUGAUGACGGUACCUACAGAAUAAGCACCGGCUAACUCCGUGCCAGCAGCCGCGGUAAUACGGAGGGUGCGAGCGUUGUCCGGAUUUAUUGGGUUUAAAGGGUGCGUAGGCGGCCGUUUAAGUCCGGGGUGAAAGCCCGUUGCUCAACAACGGAACUGCCCUGGAUACUGGAUGGCUUGAGUACAGACGAGGUUGGCGGAAUGGACCGAGUAGCGGUGAAAUGCAUAGAUACGGUCCAGAACCCCGAUUGCGAAGGCAGCUGACUAGGCUGUUACUGACGCUGAGGCACGACAGCGUGGGGAGCGAACAG
rnacentral:rRNA from 1 species